rnacentral:lncRNA from 1 species
ACCACAUCAUUUUCAAGAAUAAUUCUAUCAAUUCAUUAUUGAAAAAUGACCAUUAACAUCAAAAUUUUCAACCACACGUAUAGUUAGUACUAGUUUCGAGUUAGUUAGGUCCAGAUUUUUCAGUUUUUAACAUCAAAAUCCGUACUUCACAAUCUUAGCUCAACUUAUACAAAUAUACAGACAAAGUAAAACAAAUGCUUAUAAUUACCUCAACGUCGUAUGCAUGCACAGCCUACCAUUUGAGACUUCAAAAUGCUUGUACAUAAGCUUUUCAAAUCCUUGUCCUACUCACUUGUAAAUGCUUUCUGUAUGAAUCAGUGGCAAUUGAAUCAGCAUAUCACCAAAAUUCGAAUCUCAUUUCCAAAACAUUAAUAAGUUAUUGACAAACCCAAAUUAGAAAACUUCCAAUCCCAUUUACGAAAACUUGAAAUUAGCUUUAAUUCAAAUAUUCAAUGAGACUGGAAGUCCGCAACAGUAUAGCCAAUUAUGAAUUAUGGAACCAGAAAUGAGAAAUCAAUACUCAAAGGCAAAGCAAGGUCAGAAUCUGAUCAUAAAACCUACAAACUCAAAUAAUAAUAGUGAAAAAGAGGCCCAACCUGCUGUCUGCUAAUUUCGCUGGAAUUUUUGCAGUUACAUUGACAGGUCACGGGUCACCCUUCACCGCCUCACCGAUAGUUUUAAUUUUAGGGAUUAAUCCAUCUUUUGCUUUGUGGAGUCUGGAGAAGACGAUUAAAACGGAAUAAAUGGAUUUAUGAAGAAAGGCGGUUCGUUUUCCUCUUUUAUGUGCCAUUUUUUUUAAAAAAAAGAAGAGAUUAGGCCCCCUAUAAUAUGAGGCCCAAGGCAGUGGCCUGGCCAUUCGAAGUUGUAGACUGGUCGAGUUAGGUUGAGCUUCGUUGCUAGUAGUAGUCUCAAGGAAGGGCUAGCGUUGAUAGUGACAUUUCAGAGCUUUUUGUCAAGAGAAGAGAUAAUAAAUUGUAAAAAUUAAUUGCUGAAUGUAUUCCGCAAGCGUCAAAUUCUCAAGUCGACGGUAAAAUGAAGUGAAC